rnacentral:rRNA from 1 species
GAUCAUGGCUCAGGAUGAACGCUGGCGGCGUGCCUAACACAUGCAAGUCGAGCGAUUUACUUCGGUAAAGAGCGGCGGACGGGUGAGUAACGCGUGGGUAACCUGCCCUAUACACACGGAUAACAUACCGAAAGGUAUGCUAAUACGAGAUGACAUAAGAGAUUCGCAUGGAUUUCUUAUCAAAGCUUUUGCGGUAUAGGAUGGACCCGCGUCUGAUUAGCUAGUUGGUAAGGUAACGGCUU